rnacentral:rRNA from 1 species
UACGUAGGGUGCAAGCGUUAAUCGGAAUUACUGGGCGUAAAGCGUGCGCAGGCGGUUCUAUAAGACAGAUGUGAAAUCCCCGGGCUCAACCUGGGAACUGCAUUUGUGACUGUAGAGCUGGAGUACGGUAGAGGGGGAUGGAAUUCCGCGUGUAGCAGUGAAAUGCGUAGAUAUGCGGAGGAACCCCGAUGGCGAAGGCAGCGCCCUGGCCGCCAUCUGACGCUCAGGCACGAAAGCUGGGGGAGCGAACAGG